CCACUCCCACUGCUUCACUUGACC
rnacentral:piRNA from 2 species